ACGCUCGACACCUACGGGAGACAGCAGUAGGGAAUCUUCCACAAUGGACGCAAGUCUGAUGGAGCAACGCCGCGUGAGUGAAGAAGGUUUUCGGAUCGUAAAGCUCUGUUGUUGGUGAAGAAGGAUAGAGGUAGUAACUGGCCUUUAUUUGACGGUAAUCAACCAGAAAGUCACGGCUAACUACGUGCCAGCAGCCGCGGUAAUCUGAGCGGGCUGGCAAGGC
rnacentral:rRNA from 1 species